UGUGGCAUUGUUUCAUGUGAGUGCCCACUUCGUUAUUUAAGAACUCGGAGUUUCCUUUAAAGGUUGCUUCAUCAAAACAUGCCAUUAGUUAGAGACUUCUGCAUCCACAUCGACCGGGAAGAAUGUCUAAUUGCCGGCCUCUUUCAUACCUCUUGCAAUGCCCACCCUCCCUAAUCCUCUCCACUCCCACCUUGGACCCAAGGUAACCCCUUCCCUCCUGAUCCCCCCCCAACCUCCACAGACUGGUCUGUUUUGACUCUUUUCCUGGUGCAGAGACAUUUCUUCAGUAAUCUGGGAGUGUUCACGUGCUAAUGCAGGUAAUAAAAUAUUCAUUUCACAGCCUGAAAGCCUUGGCAGCGAUUGGCGAGGGAGCAGUCUCCACAGCGGGCUGUGUGUUCCACGGGGUGACCUUCUCCCUGGGGUCCCUGCAGCCUGGACCCUGGAAGGGGCACCGCGAGGGUCUUGUGGGCGGCUCUGGAGGAGUUUCGCUUUGGCAUCUGGAUCAGGACUGAGUCAAGCCUCCCACAUUCUGCAGCAGCUCAGAGAAAAGCGCUAGAAAUUACUGGAGCUGUGGGAGAGACGGGAGCCUGCCCCGCAGCCAGAUACCCAGAGGCGUUCUCGGAAGAUGGGGGAGGUGGAAGUCCGUUUCCUGUCAGCUCCGGCAUGAACCACGGGGAGGGCUUAUGGCUGGAUGAAACCAGCGCAGGAGUCACAGAGAGGCUGCUCCACAGGAGAGCGAGUCCUCCAGAGGACAAGGCGAGAACCCAGCUGCUCAAAUGGUAGGCUCAGGCAUCGCUCAGCUAUUUGCGUCCACACGGAAGGAGCACUGCAGUGGUCCACGGGAGGACGGCUCUCAGAGCUCAGGUUGCCUUGGAACCCAUCUUAGCUUCUUGCUGGUUUGCUACAAAGCUCUCUGCACCCGGGCCUGCUCACUCGAGAGCUGGCCUUUCUGACACUAGCCAACCUACUGGAAAUAUCCAAGACUCUAAGUGGCUCAGCUCUUCUUCCCUGAGAGUUGGGGUAACAGCAGAGGGGCUUAUGUCUGAUGGGAGCAUCUCUGGCCUCCACACCAGGCACCUUUUUCCCUGGGCCUCCACUUUCCCAUCUCCUUAUUCUGUUUAAAACCGGAGAAAUAAGGGAAGGAGGUUGCUUCCCUCUUACAAGGUGCUAUAGAAUAGACUGCCCCCUGGGAAACGUGCUUCUCAGACUACCCCACAGAUGUGAAGUAUCACACGUGGGGGCUCCAUCUGGAUAUAGAAGUUGGAGUUCCCUUGCUGAGAUGCAUUCCCAGGAUGCUUUUUGACAACUCCAGACCACCCUGGUCCCUGGACCCUGAAAUCCCACACAAGAAGAAUCUGACCUAGGACACCACAACCGCAGAAUACCUCAAUAAAAGCAAUUGAAGACUCAGUGGGAUCCAGCUGUAAGGCCAGCGGAUGCCUCGGUGAUGAAGACAAUGCCUCUUCAUCUUGAAAGACUUAGCGAAUGCCUAUUCUGUGUCAACUACUAUUCCACAAACUCCAUAUUCACCCAUUCACUCACUCACUGGAUUCAUUAAUUGUCAGAUGCUGUGUUAGUCACUUUUAUAUGAAAGUCACUCUGUUCUUUUAACCAGCAGUAACUAAGCUUGCUUUGGGGAAAAAAAUAUAAAAACAUUAAGGAAUGACCAAUGCCUACAAGAUCCUCACAGUUCAGUAGAAGAGUCAGUGCUCUAAAUAAAUUCUUAAUAGUAACUAGCAUUUCUAUAGUAAUUCCUAGGUGCUAGGAGCUGUUAUAUGUCCCUUACAUGCACUAGUUCAUUUACUCCAUGCAAUAGCCAGGUAGUAGUAAGUGCUAUUAAUAUCCACAUAUUCUAAAUGACGGAACUGUGACAUAAAGAUGAGAUGAUCUGCUCAAGGCCAUACAGCUCCUGAUGGCAGAGCUGGGAGUCAGGCCCAGGAUGUGCAACUCCAGUGUCUGUACCUUAAUACUUUUCUAUGUGUGGUGUAGUUAAUGUUAUAAUAUUGGCAUAUGUUAUGGGAACACAGAGGAAGGAGUGAUUUCUUCUGCUGGGAGUAGAGAUGGGGAUGACAGAAGAUUUGCCGAGAAUUGUGUUUGAGUUGCCUGCAUAGGUGUGCGAUGCAUGCCAGCUUGAUGUGCAGGCUGGCUCUGAGCCGGACCGUGCUCCUCAUCAGACCUCCUUCUCCCUCCACAGGGAAGAAUGACCUGACAAACUCAAGAGGCAAGCCAAUUUGGUUACUAAGCCCAGGAUAAUUCAGAUGUGAAACAGAUUAAACUCAUUUGCAAUUACCAGACCUGUCCUCUUUGUGGGGAGCAUUAGAACCUCUUAGCAAUUCAGUUCAAUGAGUAUUGGCAUUGUGUUGGAUCACUGCCCUUGCAUGGCUUGCACGCUAUCUAGAAGAAAAGUGUGUGAUUAAUGGCAAAUAGGCUUGCAUUUUUUCUCUCUCAGUGUUUUGUUUUCCCUGUCCUCCCAUUAUCAGUCUAGGGUUCUCAUCAGAACAAUGAAAUAUCAGUGCCUAGAAGUAGGAAGUAAAAAGAGGCUGAACAGCCACAAAAUGGUUUACAAGAGAAUGUCCUGAGAAAGCAGAGAGGUACACGGUGUCUUCUGUAAAAAUGAGAGGAUUCAGAGUUGGUGGCCGGCGCUGGAAGGCUGCUCGGGCACUAAUUAGUUGUAUUUCUCCAGCGUGCUUCCUCAUCCCAUUGGGUCUUUGCUUCCCUCAUCAUCAUCAUUAUUAUUUUAUUAUAUUAUCAAUAUUGUUAUUAUUAUUGGAAUGAUAAUACCCAGGUUGCAGAAUUUCUGAGAAAUACAAAAUAAAUACCAUAUGUGAAACUGCAAGACCCAAGUUAGAUAUUAUUGGUCAACACAAUCCUAUUUUCUUGCCGAACUCCAUUGAAUUCCAGGCAGAUCUAGAAUCUGGUUGCCUUCUAAUUUGGGCCAAAAUCUCUGACCACUAUGGACCCUGUCAAAGGUUAGCAAUGUCUCUGGGAGUUUCUUGUGCCAGCUUUCUUUCUCUUUUUUUUUUUUUUCAGGUUAUGGAUAGCUCAAGUUUUUCCAUUCCUAAGGAAAUCUCAGCUCAAUAUCAGGGUUUUCCCAAAUUUCACCUUGAGUGCCCUGGCUACCUCUUUCUGCAUAAUCUCCAGGGUGAUUCGUCCACUGUGGGGUGAUCAGAGAUCUCAAGGGUAUGCUGGAGUUCCUAAAGCUGUAUUGCAGCACAGACAGACCUUUCUGCAGCAGUUCACUCCAACACAACUUGUCUAACACUUUUUCUCCUCUCCGUGGAUUUCUUUCCAGUUCUCUCUAUCUCAAUCUAUACCACCCACCCAGUCACCCAACCAGAAACUUGCAUUUUCUUGAUGUAUCCUUUUCCUUAACAUUCCUAUCUAUCUUUCAGUUCACUCAUUCAUUCCAUUUACUCUCGUUCCUUCUCUCUAGCAAAUUGCAGAAGACAGUGUCCCCCUUAGGGUGUUAGGUUCAUUUAUCUUUCUGCAUUUUUAUAAUAAGAGAAGAUAAGAAAACUAAAAGGUGUGUCAAUGAAUUCCCAUGGGAAAAAGUGAGAAGUGAUUCAGUGAUCCAAUGAUGUCCCAUCUCCCAAGGAGAAGAAUUGGAAGGCUUCACUUGACUGUAGGUGACCAUUAAGUCUGCUAGGUCAUGUUUAGCAUCCUUAACACUGGACCAGUGAAAUGCCUCCCCGAAUUGCGCAAUAGCAGCCAUGACACCAGGGAGAUACUCCAGGGAUGUGCUUUCCUCCUGGAAUGAGACUGCUUUGCUGCUAGCAGAAAGGUCUCUAGAAGGUCAGAGGCAGGGAAACUGGGGCUUGGGGGGAAGAGAGCAGGUGGGUAAAAAGAGGAGUGGGGAAGGUGAUUAUGCCAAUAUGGUCCUGUUUUCUUCUGACUAGAUGGUCAGAAAGAGCCAGUCAUGAAGGUUUCAUUGUGGCCCAAUGUUCAAUGGUGUUUUGGGGUUAAUAAGAAAUGACCAAAAUUGGUGUCAUGUAAAAAAAGAAAAAUUACAGAGUUGAGCUGGCAGAAGACUUUAAGUAAUAAAAUAAGUAAAUAUAAAAUAUGGUACAGUUUAUAAAAUUUAUGGUGAGUUGUUUUGUAGCUAGCCUUAGUUGAUUCUAUCUUGCCUAAGAACCACAUCUUUCCAAAGGCAUUCAGCAACCAAUGGAUCUUCCAAAUGUAAAGAUCAGUAUGCAAACAAAAG
rnacentral:lncRNA from 10 species